rnacentral:rRNA from 1 species
CGAAUGGGGAAACCCACCAUGUAUAAGCAUGGUAUCCUGUACUGAAUACAUAGGUACAGAGAAGCGAACCUGGAGAACUGAACCAUCUAAGUACCCAGAGGAAAAGAAAUCAACCGAGAUUGCGCAAGUAGUGGCGAGCGAACGCGCAGGAGCCAGUAUAUGAUAGUCACUGAGAUAGAAGAACAAGCUGGGAAGCUUGGCCGUAGAGGGUGAUAGCCCCGUAUUCGAAAUUUCAGAGGCGGUACUAAGUAUACGACAAGUAGGGCGGGACACGAGAAAUCCUGUCUGAAGAUGGGGGGACCAUCCUCCAAGGCUAAAUACUCAUCAUCGACCGAUAGUGAACCAGUACCGUGAGGGAAAGGCGAAAAGAACCCCGGGAGGGGAGUGAAAUAGAACCUGAAACCUGAUGCAUACAAACAGUGGGAGCGGAGCAAUCCGUGACUGCGUACCUUUUGUAUAAUGGGUCAACGACUUACAUUCAGUAGCGAGCUUAACCGAUUAGGGGAGGCGUAGGGAAACCGAGUCUUAAUAGGGCGUCGAGUUGCUGGGUGUAGACCCGAAACCGAGUGAUCUAUCCAUGGCCAGGUUGAAGGUGCCGUAACAGGUACUGGAGGACCGAACCCACGCAUGUUGCAAAAUGCGGGGAUGAGCUGUGGAUAGGGGUGAAAGGCUAAACAAACUCGGAGAUAGCUGGUUCUCCCCGAAAACUAUUUAGGUAGUGCCUCGAGCAAGACACUGAUGGGGGUAAAGCACUGUUAUGGCUAGGGGGUCAUUGCGACUUACCAACCCAUGGCAAACUAAGAAUACCAUCAAGUGGUUCCUCGGGAGACAGACAUCGGGUGCUAACGUCCGGUGUCAAGAGGGAAACAACCCAGACCGCCAGCUAAGGUCCCAAAUGACAGAUUAAGUGGUAAACGAAGUGGGAAGGCCCAGACAGCCAGGAUGUUGGCUUAGAAGCAGCCAUCAUUUAAAGAAAGCGUAAUAGCUCACUGGUCGAGUCGUCCUGCGCGGAAGAUGUAACGGGGCUCAAAUCUGUAACCGAAGCUGCGGAUGCCAGUUAACUGGCAUGGUAGGGGAGCGUUCUGUAGGCCGAAGAAGGUGUGUUGAGAAGCAUGCUGGAGGUAUCAGAAGUGCGAAUGUUGACAUGAGUAGCGAUAAACAGGGUGAAAAGCCCUGUCGCCGAAAACCCAAGGUUUCCUACGCAACGUUCAUCGGCGUAGGGUGAGUCGGCCCCUAAGGCAAGGCAGAGAUGCGUAGUCGAUGGGAAACAGGUUAAUAUUCCUGUACUUGAUUCAAAUGCGAUGUGGGGACGGAGAAGGUUAGGUCAUCGAUCUGUUGGAAUAGAUCGUUUAAGCCGGUAGGUGGAGCACUCAGGCAAAUCCGGGUGCUCAACACCGAGAAGUGAUGACGAGUGUCUACGGACACGAAGUGACUGAUACCACGCUUCCAGGAAAAGCCACUAAGCUUCAGUUUGAAUGAAACCGUACCGCAAACCGACACAGGUGGGUAGGAUGAGAAUUCUAAGGCGCUUGAGAGAACUCAGGAGAAGGAACUCGGCAAAUUGAUACCGUAACUUCGGGAGAAGGUAUGCCUCUUAUGGUGAAGGAUUAACUCUGUAAGCUAUGAGAGGUCGCAGAGAAUAGGUGGCUGCGACUGUUUAAUAAAAACACAGCACUCUGCAAACACGAAAGUGGACGUAUAGGGUGUGACGCCUGCCCGGUGCUGGAAGGUUAAUUGAAGAUGUGCAAGCAUCGGAUCGAAGCCCCAGUAAACGGCGGCCGUAACUAUAACGGUCCUAAGGUAGCGAAAUUCCUUGUCGGGUAAGUUCCGACCCGCACGAAUGGCGUAACGAUGGCCACACUGUCUCCUCCUGAGACUCAGCGAAGUUGAAAUGGUUGUGAAGAUGCAAUCUCCCCGCUGCUAGACGGAAAGACCCCGUGAACCUUUACUGUAGCUUUGCAUUGGACUUUGAAGUCACUUGUGUAGGAUAGGUGGGAGGCUAAGAAGCAGGAACGCUAGUUCUUGUGGAGCCGUCCUUGAAAUACCACCCUGGUGACUUUGAGGUUCUAACCCGGAUCCAUAAUCUGGAUCGGGGACCGUGCAUGGUAGGCAGUUUGACUGGGGCGGUCUCCUCCCAAAGAGU